rnacentral:rRNA from 1 species
UACGAAGGGGGCUAGCGUUGCUCGGAAUUACUGGGCGUAAAGCGCACGUAGGCGGCUUUCUAAGUCGAACGUGAAAUCCCCGGGCUCAACCCGGGAACUGCGUCCGAGACUGGAAGGCUUGAAUCCGGGAGAGGGAUGUGGAAUUCCAGGUGUAGCGGUGAAAUGCGUAGAUAUCUGGAGGAACAUCGGUGGCGAAGGCGGCAUCCUGGACCGGUAUUGACGCUGAGGCGCGAAAGCCAGGGGAGCAAACGGG